rnacentral:rRNA from 1 species
UACGGAGGGUGCGAGCGUUAAUCGGAAUUACUGGGCGUAAAGCGCACGUAGGCGGUUAUGUAAGUUGGAUGUGAAAGUCCUGGGCUUAACCUGGGGAUUGCAUCCAAAACUACAUGACUAGAGUAGGGUAGAGGGAGGUAGAAUUUCCGGUGUAGCGGUGAAAUGCGUAGAGAUCGGAAGGAAUACCAGUGGCGAAGGCGGCCUCCUGGAUUCAUACUGACGCUGAGGUGCGAAAGCAUGGGGAGCAAACAGG